UGGGGAAUAUUGGACAAUGGGGGAAACCCUGAUCCAGCGACGCCGCGUGAGUGAAGAAGUAUUUCGGUAUGUAAAGCUCUAUCAGCAGGGAAGAAAAUGACGGUACCUGACUAAGAAGCCCCGGCUAACUACGUGCCAGCAGCCGCGGUAAUACGUAGGGGGCAAGCGUUAUCCGGAUUUACUGGGUGUAAAGGGAGCGCAGACGGCGAAGCAAGUCUGAAGUGAAAUGCAUGGGCUCAACCCAUGAAUUGCUUUGGAAACUGUUUGGCUUGAGUGUCGGAGGGGUAAGCGGAAUUCCUAGUGUAGCGGUGAAAUGCGUAGAUAUUAGGAGGAACACCGGAGGCGAAGGCGGCUUACUGGACGACAACUGACGUUGAGGCUCGAAGGCGUGGGGAGCAAACAGG
rnacentral:rRNA from 1 species